rnacentral:lncRNA from 1 species
UGAUCCUGGGUCAUGAUGCAAGCAGGACUUCAGCCUUUUCUACUUUAGGAACAGAGCACAGAAGACCAUGUACUUCUCCUCUGAAGCCGCUCAAAAACAGCUCGGAUGGAAAGACAAAUCCAUCAAGAUCGCUCCCUGAUCACUGACCCGCAGAUUCUCUAGCCGCGGUAGUAGAGCAGAAGCCGUUGCUUCUGCGAGGCCUGAGGUCAGCUUGGGAAGCCCCGAGAGGCAGCUGUGGGCUGAGAGUAGAGCCUAUAGACCCCGUAGCCUGCUGGAUCUUCCUUUAAUACAUCAUUUUAAAGUCGGUUUUCUUGUCCCUCCCACAUCUACUCGGAGAGCUAUCUGGGGCAAAGCAAGGGUCAGGCACAGAGGAAACCACAGCUGCAAGACUCCCAUAG